AGGGUUUGAUCAUGGCUCAGAACGUACGCUGGCGGCACGCCUAAUACAUGCAAGUCGAACGAAGUAGCAAUACUUAGUGGCAGACGGGUGAGUAACAUGUGGGUAUCUUCCCUUUGGUGAGGAAUAACACGAGGAAACUUGUGCUAAUACCUCAUAAGUCUUUACGGAGAAAGCUUUAUGCGCCAUUGGAUGAGCCCGCACUUGAUUAGUUUGUUGGUAGGGUAAUGGCCUACCAAGACUUUGAUCAAUAGCUGAUUUGAGAGGAUGAUCAGCCACAUUGGGACUGAGACACGGCCCAAACUCCUACGGGAGGCAGCAGUAGGGAAUCUUGCACAAUGGAGGAAACUCUGAUGCAGCGAUGCCGCGUGAGUGAAGAAGGCCCUUGGGUUGUAAAGCUCUUUCGUCGGGGAAGAAAAUGACUGUACCCGAAUAAGAAGGUCCGGCUAACUUCGUGCCAGCAGCCGCGGUAAUA
rnacentral:rRNA from 1 species